CUUGAGCGAGCCCAGCAGCAGCGGCCCGCGCCCGCCGCGGGCGCGGCCGUAGGUCUCCAGCAGCGCCUGGGCCUC
rnacentral:antisense_RNA from 1 species